AGCCACAUCAGGUUAAAACACCGGUUCCUGUACAAUCACUGAAGUUAAGCAACAUUGAGCCUGGUUAGUACCUAGAUAGGUGACCACUUGGAGGUACAGGUGGUGUA